AAUGAACGCUGGCGGCGUGCUUAACACAUGCAAGUCGUACGAGAACUCUUCUGCUUGCAGAAGAUAGUAAAGUGGCGCACGGGUGAGUAACGCGUGGGUAAUCUGCCUCUGAAUCGGGGAUAACCCGCCGAAAGGCGAGCUAAUACCGGAUAAUAUCUUUAAAACUUAGGUUUUUAAGAUCAAAGGUGGUCUCUACAUGUAAGCUACUGUUUGGAGAUGAGCCCGCGUACCAUUAGCUUGUUGGUAGGGUAAUGGCCUACCAAGGCCGCGAUGGUUAGCCGGUCUGAGAGGAUGAUCAGCCACACUGGAACUGACACACGGUCCAGACUCCUACGGGAGGCAGCAGUGAGGAAUUUUGCGCAAUGGGGGAAACCCUGACGCAGCAACGCCGCGUGAGUGAUGAAGGCUUUCGGGUCGUAAAGCUCUGUCAAGUGGGAAGAACUUGCUUGAUAUUAACACCAUCAAGCACUGACG
rnacentral:rRNA from 1 species